AAUUUUCUGAGAUUUUAUUACUUUUUUUAUUGAAUUUAUAUUGUUGUUGAAAAUAACAACUUUUUCUUUAAGACUAAAAGACCCUAGAAUCUUGAAUAACUUUUAAGUUAUUUGGUUGGGGUAAUAAAAUUUAGUAAAUUAAUUUAUA
rnacentral:rRNA from 1 species